rnacentral:rRNA from 1 species
CCUACGGGCGGCAGCAGUGGGGAAUAUUGGACAAUGGGGGGAACCCUGAUCCAGCCAUGCCGCGUGUGUGAAGAAGGCCCUCGGGUUGUAAAGCACUUUCAGUGAGGAAGAACGCCUGGUGGUUAAUACCCAUCAGGAAAGACAUCACUCACAGAAGAAGCACCGGCUAACUCCGUGCCAGCAGCCGCGGUAAUACGGAGGGUGCGAGCGUUAAUCGGAAUUACUGGGCGUAAAGCGCGCGUAGGUGGCUUGAUAAGCCGGUUGGGAAAGCCCCGGGCUCAACCUGGGAACGGCAUCCGGAACUGUCAAGCUAGAGUGCAGGAGAGGAAGGUAGAAUUCCCGGUGUAGCGGUGAAAUGCGUAGAGAUCGGGAGGAAUACCAGUGGCGAAGGCGGCCUUCUGGACUGACACUGACACUGAGGUGCGAAAGCGUGGGUAGCAAACAGGAUUAGAUACCCGUGUAGUC